AUUGAACGCUGGCGGCAUGCCUUACACAUGCAAGUCGAACGGCAGCGCGGGGCAACCUGGCGGCGAGUGGCGAACGGGUGAGUAAUAUAUCGGAACGUACCCUGGAGUGGGGGAUAACGUAGCGAAAGUUACGCUAAUACCGCAUACGAUCUAAGGAUGAAAGCAGGGGACCGCAAGGCCUUGUGCUCCUGGAGCGGCCGAUAUCUGAUUAGCUAGUUGGUGGGGAAAGGCCUACCAAGGCAUCGAUCAGUAGCUGGUCUGAGAGGACGACCAGCCACACUGGAACUGAGACACGGUCCAGACUCCUACGGGAGGCAGCAGUGGGGAAUUUUGGACAAUGGGCGAAAGCCUGAUCCAGCAAUGCCGCGUGAGUGAAGAAGGCCU
rnacentral:rRNA from 1 species